rnacentral:tmRNA from 1 species
GGGGGUGAACGGUCUCGACUCCUGAGGCGGACCGAGGGGAAGCGUGCCGAGGAAGACGACGAUGAGCUCGUUAACCAUGCGUCGUAACAAAAUAAGUGCCGACGAGAGUCGCACUGUCCCGGCUCAGGGCGCCCGCGCGGACUUCGCGCUCGCUGCCUGAUCCAGUAAGGGACUGUCGGCCCGGGGGUGUUCCCGCCCCGGUGCCCGGCAUCAGCUAGGGGACUUCACCGUCCGGCCCGGUCGCCGGGGUCGGACGGGACACCAAACAGCGACUGGGAUCGUCACACCGGCUCGUCCGUGAGACCGGUGGAUCCGAGUAGAGACACAGCGGACUGCGCACGGAGAAGCCCUCGCAAUGCGAAGGAGGACCCGGGUUCGAUUCCCGGCACCUCCACC